rnacentral:rRNA from 1 species
GACGAACGCUGGCGGCGUGCUUAACACAUGCAAGUCGAACGAUGAACUUGGAGCUUGCUCUGGGGGAUUAGUGGCGAACGGGUGAGUAACACGUGAGUAACCUGCCCUGGACUCUGGGAUAACUUCGAGAAAUCGGAGCUAAUACCGGAUAGGACCUUGCACCGCAUGGUGUUGGGUGGAAAGUUUUUCGGUUUGGGAUGGACUCGCGGCCUAUCAGCUUGUUGGUGAGGUAAUGGCUCACCAAGGCGUCGACGGGUAGCCGGCCUGAGAGGGUGACCGGCCACACUGGGACUGAGACACGGCCCAGACUCCUACGGGAGGCAGCAGUGGGGAAUAUUGCACAAUGGGCGCAAGCCUGAUGCAGCAACGCCGCGCGCGGGAUGACGGCCUUCGGGUUGUAAACCGCUUUUAGUAGGGAAGAAGCCUUCGGGUGACGGUACCUGCAGAAAAAGGACCGGCUAACUACGUGCCAGCAGCCGCCGUAACAC